rnacentral:misc_RNA from 1 species
GAUGAAGAACGCAGCGAAAUGCGAUAAGUAAUGUGAAUUGCAGAAUUCAGUGAAUCAUCGAAUCUUUGAACGCACAUUGCGCCCGUCAGUAUUCUGGCGGGCAUGCCUGUUCGAGCGUCAUUACGCCCCUCAAGUCCCCUGUGGACUUGGUGUUGGGGAUCGGCGAGGCUGGUUUUCCAGCACAGCCGUCCCUUAAAUUAAUUGCCGGUCUCGCCGUGGCCCUCCUCUGCGCAGUAGUAAAACACUCGCAACAGGAGCCCGGCGCGGUCCACUGCCGUAAAACCCCCCAACUUUUUAUAGUUGACCUCGAAUCAGGUAGGACUACCCGCUGAACUUAAGCAUAUCAAUAAGCGGAGGA